rnacentral:rRNA from 1 species
UACGAAGGGGACUAGCGUUGUUCGGAUUUACUGGGCGUAAAGCGCGCGUAGGCGGAUCGCUAAGUCAGGGGUGAAAUGCCAAGGCUCAACCUUGGAACUGCCUUUGAUACUGACGAUCUGGAGAUUGGGAGAGGUGAGUGGAAUUCCGAGUGUAGAGGUGAAAUUCGUAGAUAUCGGGAGGAAUACCAGUGGCGAAGGCGGCGACCUGGGUAGAUACUGACGCUGAGGUGCGAAAGCGUGGGGAGCAAACAGG